rnacentral:misc_RNA from 1 species
GGAAUACACGGCUUCCAUCGCUGCUACGUGUUUGACUUGAAUACGAACGUAGUGCGCUGUUUAACGAAACAAGUGGCAAUUUCUUAGGAACUUAUAUUCCUUGAGGAUUUUUUCUUAAUUAUAUUAGAAGAAAUAAAAGACUACCAUCGGUGGUUGGAGGAAUGAGAGGAGGCGGUUGGUAAUUCUUGAGGUGGCAACAGGUUGCAAUGAUCAUCGUAAGACCUCGUGCCCGAGCGUUAACUUGUCAUUUGUUUUUAUCAUUUAAUUACAAAAAAUGUUUUACCGCUGUUCACUGACAAUGGCUCUUCGGUCAAGUGUAAGUAUCAUCUUUUGAACAUACUGAAGAAGCAUGUGAUUUAAAUUAUUUUACAGUGAAAUUACUUUAUAUUGCUAUUCAAUAAACGUCUACAAAAUGUCCAUAAACAAUUGUGUAAUCUUACUGUCCGACUCGGUAAGAUAACUAUAAAACGUGGAAGAAAUGGAAAGUCGCCCCGAUUUUUCCCUCGAUAGAUCUCGACUUCUGGCCGGAGCGGGACUUAACACUCCCCAUGGCUUUCCCGUGGACGCUCCGUCGCCACAUCCAACACCUUUACGGACUUCGUUUUCAGAUAUGAGUCGUGCGGGUACGGCUAACGACCCAUCAUCUCUUUCAGCAUACCACAGCCGAUUUCUCCAGGCCUCACUGCCUUUGGGCAACAAUGGGACCAGUUAUUCCUAUUUGAGUGGGAUAUACAACAGUAAUUUCCCUGCUCCGUCCACCUCUCCAUUCAGAGUGCCACCUACAGGAAUAAUAAUGAGACAGUUUUGGCCCCCUACACCACCACCAGACAAUUAUAGCAGAUAUGGAAUAGGUAGUAGCCUCUAUACGAUGUUUCCAGCAAUGGGGUCACUUGCUCCAUCUACGGACCCAAACCCAUACUCCAGUCAAGGAUAUAUUUCUAGAUUGGGACAGUCAUCUUCACAUUACCAUUCUAUUCUAGAAGCAGCACAUAAAGAACCUACCUACUUGCCUCCAGGACUAGCUCUAGCAUCUCCUCUUGCCAUGAACAGUCAUUUAGGGCACACAACACCAGUACCCUCCCUGACUCCAGCUCUUGACCGCCAUCCAAGCUAUAGUCACUUGGGGCUAGGGAUGAAAGGGCUAGAUGUUGGAAGGCGCACUCUCCUUGUGGAAGAGGAAGACUUUCGAAGAGUAGAACGUGGAGCAGAUGACUUGGAAGGAUUUUUGAAAAGAGAAGUAUCAAAUGUUAGUUGCCAUCACAAGGUAGAUCGGGCAAGGUUGGGCAUGAAUGUUAUAGAAUCUCAAAUUCGAGCUGCUGGAAAACAAACAGAUUCCUCCUCUAGUGUUGUGUCACAAGAGAAGGCAUCAGAAAGUAGAAGUAAAAACCGUGAAGACAAACAGAAAGAUAAAAAAAUGCAACUUCAUCUUACAGAGUGCUGUCUGACACACAAUAACCCACUACUUUGUAGAGGAACUAAACACAGUAAAUCUCGUGGGUUGACCACAAGUUAUGAAGUUGAAAAAACUGCAAAAGAAAAAAAAUGUUCCAGGUGCUCUUCUGAUUUAACAAACAGCAUUGGCAGUCCUCAUUGUGUAACUAAAACAACUGCUAAAGUAAAAAGCACAGAUUAUCAGGAAGAACAUCAGAAAACGGUUCUGGAUUCCUCUUUAACUACAACAGUGGUCACACCUACUAGUACUGUGGAAACCACCUCAGUUACUACCACAAGAAUUCACAUGACACCAUCAUUAGUUAAUUCAAAUGUUUCCAUUAUUUCCAAAACACAAAAGUCUAACAAUACGGUGUCUGUUGAUGAUACAAAAAUUUCAAACAAAACUUCACAGUGUAAAGAAAAGUGUAGAGAUAGUAGCAUUUCAUGCAGUACUCAAAGUGACCUUGCACCACAGUCACAAAACCUAACUUGUUCGGAUCAUGAUCAUGACAUAUUGAAACUCACACAAAGUCAGGAAGCAGGGACCAUAGAUCUGUCUCUUCCUUUAACAGGUCAGUCUUGUGAACCAAUUCGGAAUGUUUCCUCACAAGUGAGUGAGGGUGAAAAUGAACAGAGUUUGCUCUCUAGUCAAAACACCUCUAUAAGCAAAGUUAGUGAAUCCCUCAUUUCCAAACAAAAAUCAUCAAACACUUUGUCCAGAUCCUGUUCUCUCACCUUGUCUCACACAGUUGCUUCACAGCCAUUGAAAGAUGACAAUUCAACAUUGUGUGUAGUGUCGAGCAAUAGCAAGAGACAUUUGACCCACUCACCAAAGAGCCACACACCUUCUUCUACUCCAAUGUUAUUAUCUGGUGUCCACAUAAAACAAGAGAGAAUAGAAGGAGAAGAACACUGUCCAUUAAGUAAAACAUGCAACUCUUCUCUUUCGUCCACAUGGCAGGAUCUCAGUUUGUCUAGAAAUGAUAUGACUGAAGAGGAUCAAGGUGUUAUUAAUCUCAGUAUACCACGCAGAGUUCCUAAACAAGAACCUGUAGAAUUUGCCUUACAUUAUAGGAUGCAACCAGAAUCUCCAUCAAGGAAAAGUCUUUCAUCAGAGAAAGUUCAAUCAGACUUUGUUUCAUCCAAAAAUCUUGCAACAUUAACAGGUUUAGCAUUACAUGGAACUACAUCUGUGGCCAAAUCAACACUUCAAACAAAUGAUGUAAUGCAUCCUACAGAUCAGAUUGCUGAGAAACCUAGAUCUUCUGGGAAAGCUGUAAAAGCUACCACAUCAGUUCAGUCUCAACUAGUUAGUAACCCAGAUUGUGCAUCUACCUUCUCUUUAGUAACAACAUGUUUGACUGUCUCUCAGCCACCAGUUUUAUCCAGUACUCUGUCAGGGCUACCCAGUCAAGAUGGUGGUAUUUCAGGCCAACAAACAUUUCCUGCUUCCAAAAGGUCUGAUUAUCCUUUUGUUGCAACAAAUGCUAAUCCUCAUCCAAGUACCACAACAAAGCCUAGUGCAUCAGUGUCUGGAUCUUUGACGUGGUCCUGCUCCUCUGGUAAUAGUGUUUCUACCAAUAAUACGUGUCAACCAAGUUCUGUAGCCUUGACUUUUUCUUCUACAGCAAACUCAAACAUCCCUGUAGGAAUAGCAGUAGCUCAAAAGAGACAAGGUGUUUCAACAAAUUCAGCUGAUAAAGGUGGAUCCCAAUUUGGAAUAAAUACAGAUCAUUCAAGCAGAUCAUCUGCUAUAUCUUCUUUGCCUACUGGAAGUUCAGAUAGUUCCAUUCCUGAAAAAGAAGGGUAUUUACAGGAAUCUUCAGGACUGAAUAUGCAGCAACAUCCUGUAGAGCCAAACUUAAAUGACAAUUCUACCUGCAUACUCAGCCAAGAUGUUAAUCCUCCAGUUACCCAGUGGGAGUCAGAUUCUGUUGUACGCACCCCAAUAGCACAGCACUGGGUUACUCCUAGUCCUGUAGUAGGUCCCACAGUUUGGCUUAGUCAGAACACGUAUAACCCUACUCCAGCUCCACCUCAAACAGCUCUACCAUAUUCCAUAGACCCAUCUCACAUUCCCAUAUCACCUGGGGGAUAUCAAGUCUAUAGAGAUUCUUUAACUAAUCAGAUUUUUCUACUGCCUACAGCAACAAAUAUAGAAAUCGUGGACCGAUCUGGAAUUUGGACAGGCUACCCAGCUCCCCCUUGUAGCACACCAGUGCAACAAAUGUUUACAACCCAACCUCAUCAGCCACCAUUUCAAGCUCAAGCCAUACAAGAGGAAGACCAACUCAAACACCAAACAACAAAGAAUAAAAAUUCAUCUCUGCCUAGUAACUGCAUUACAACACUAGAAAUUUCAGAAGAUGAAGAGAGAAAUGGGUCAUCACAGGGUAUCUGUGAAGAAUAUGAAGAUGAUAAAACUGAAGACAAAACUCACGGAAUGCUUCACACAGCUCCAUCAUUGCCUCUUGGCUCUUCCUCAACCGUUUCUUACCCAGCAUUCCCUCAAGCUACUGCCCCAGCAGCACUUUCUUAUUUCUAUGAAGCUUCCACAAUUGUUCACCUGACUCAAACCCAGUCAACAACUGCUAUUCAAACAGAGCCAGGUAAACGUUCACAGGGAACAUCACCUAUGAAUCCUGUUACUCCAUCACCACCACCUGUACUUUUGGGUUCUGAGCAAGGUGUUCAGACAUCAGUUUCUGAUGAAGGAGAUGAGAGUGAGAAUAAUGAUGAAGAAGGGGAGAUAGAAGUUAGUCAAGUUACAACUGAAGGAGAACAACCUAGUCAGGCUAUGAGUGUUACAACUGCAAUUCAAGUAGAUAUGGACUCUCAGACAAAUUCAGAUUAUACUGAUGUAGAAGAACAUGCUGUGGAAGUAACAGAUUCUGCCAACCAAACUGAUAACCUUUUGAUGAGUGUGGGUAAGGAGUUUUGUACAAGUGGUGAAGAGGAGUCAUGUGAUGUCACUCAUCCUCUUUCUCCUGCUGUAAUAGAAAACCUUUCUGUUGCUAAUAGUAAUGAUUCAGAAACUCAGUUGUUCCAGGAGCAGCCUUCUUUGAAUGUUGAAGUAGUUGAAGAAGACUCUGCACCUGUACUUUCAGCAGCUAGCAAACCAGUCAUGGACUUCAUUGAUCAUCAUGGGUUAAACUUGCUUGUGGAUAGCAUUGAAGAAUUUGCUUCACGUGAACAAGAAGGAAAGACUAUGGAAAUGGACCAGCAUCAUUCAGACAACUCAGAUGAACAGUCUAGUAAGAAAAUAAGUGACUUAGAUGAUAGUGCUAAAGUCAAUGACAUUAUGAAUCCCUCUGAAGACUCCAUGUUGUUGAAAUCAAAGUCAUUGUCAAACAGUAUUGAUUCUUCAUGUACUGAUGGUUUAGGACUGUUAUGUGCCCUAGCUGAACAGCGAUUCUUGGAAGAAUCAAUGAACAUCCAAGGUCCAGAGGUUGGACUGAACCUCAGUUUGAAGCAUGAUAUUAAUCAAAACUAUGAGGAAUCUAACAGGCAAGAUGACAACCCUAAUUCUAAGAGUCCUUUACAAGUUUAUGCUUUCAGUAGUAAGUCCUCGUCUCCAUUUUACACAUUGGAAAGUCCAUUAUUUGUUAGUAAUGCUCCAAAAACAAUGGAUGUUGCAGAAUUGGAGAUGAAAUUGCAGCUGGCAGAAUUACAGAAAAAAUACAAAGAAAAACAAAAGGAACUGGCCAAACUUCAGCCAAAAAAAGAAAAGGAAGAACCAGACAAUACUCCUGUGAAAAGACGACCAGGACGCCCAAGAAAAAAGCGUUUCAUGACAUUAAAAUCAAAAACUUUGGAUAUUUCUCCAACAUUGUUUGGAGACCUUUUAUCAGAAUCAGUUCCAGAAACCUCUGCCCCAGUCCUGGAUCCUUCCCAACAUUCAUCUUCUUCUGAACUCACAUUUUUUGAAACUCUUGCUCCAGAAACUUCUGAUGUAUUAUCAGGGUCACCUAAAAAGAAGAAAAAGAAAUGUUCUCCAACAGAAAACAAAAUUUGCCAGAUUUUGAAGAAACCUAAAGAAAACAGGUUCUGUGCAAAAUUUAGUGUCACAAAGAAGUCAAAUACCAAAGGAAAGAAAUCAUCUUUAAAACCAGAAUUUACAAAUAAAACUGGAGAAUUAAAUGGUUAUCAAACAGAAAAGCUGCAGACUCUCCCUGUUCCUGUGCAAGAAGACAUACCAAUAGACAACUGCAACACUCUCAUGAUAGAUGACAAAGAUAUUUCAGCAGCUGAUGACAAUACCAAAAAAUAUCUUAAGCCUAAGAAUGAAACUAAAAUCAGCAGUGAAGCAGUUAAAGAGGAUUAUAAUGAGCAAGAAAUGGAGUCAUCUGUUAACAAACAAGGAUUGUCCAAAAGUCAUUCAUCUGAAAUAAAUAAUGAGGAUAAAGACUCAACUGAAAAUAAAAAUAAUGUUUUACCCACAUUAAUACCAAGUGAUAUCAAGAUAACAGAGGAUGUAAAUGAUAUUAUGAAUGAAGCCAAAGAGUCUUCUGAAUUGGCAGUUUUAACACACAUAAAUGUAUCUUCUACCACACCUGACAGAGUUAUGAAAAGGAAAUUUGAGCAAGGUGAAAGUGAGAGUAACACUUCAGAUGCAGAAGUUUCUUCAGCAAAGAAACGUAAACCUGGUAGACCCAAAAAACAUUCACCUUCUAAACCAGAUGAAGUCACAGAAACCAUUGUUUCAAAGCAGCCAAAGAAGUUAGCUUUUCUUAAGGCUAAGGCUCAAGCCAAGCAAAUGAAAACAGAGAUGAACAAAACAAAGACUCGUAGUGAAUCAGAAUCAAAGGUGUCAUGUUUCGAGGAAGAUAUCUGGUUUCGUCGUCGUAGCGAAAGGAUUUUUCUUCAUGAUGCUGGUGUUGUUCCUGGAGCCAUGUCUCCAUGGAGAGGAGAAAAUGUAGACCUUUCCUCCACAAGUGUGAAAGAAUUAUCUGUGAAUGAUUCAAAAAAAUUUAUUUCACAGCCACAAAUAAAAUAUGAAACGACAUCCAAAAAUUCAAGAAGUAACAGUAAAUCUGAGGAUAAAUCUGAAUCCUCCAAAAAAUUAAAGGUGAAAAAAGAUUCAGAGUUAUCAAGCAAGAAAAUGAAAACAAAAGAAAACAAAAAACAACAAAAGAAAGAAAAGAUGGUUCCAGAUGAUUUGUUUACAGCUCUAAAGAAGUGUCGACUUAGUGAGAGUAGCCAAGGGAUUACAUCUCCUCAUCCUGCAGAUCUGGAAAAUUCAGAGAGCAGUGAAGGAGAAAAUAUUCCUUUAAGUGCCUUAAUUGACAGGUCAUCUACUCCAGCUUUUCUUGGAGAGCUCCGAUCCUGCCUUCUUCAGCCUCAAGAACUGGAUGAACAUCUGAGAGUUUUAACAAUGGAUGACGGCUUAUUUUAUGCUGGGACUAUUAAAGCCAUUCAAGCCCCUGAUGUGUAUGGCAUUACAAGAGAUGGAGAAAGAGGGAACAGACCUCACAUUUAUUCUCGGGAGGAAAUUUUAAAUGAGGCUAUUGUUGAAGUAAAACCAACAUCAUUGCGCCAUCUACCAGAGGGGCGGAGAAUUUGUGCAUUUUGGAGUCAGCAGUAUCGAUGCAUGUAUCCUGGAACUGUGGCUAAAUCAUCCAGUCCCAAGCGUGAUUCAGAUAGGGAUAUGGUGUAUGUGGAGUUUGAUGAUGGGGAUUCUGGUCGAAUAUCUCUCAAAGAUAUAUGUAUGCUUCCACCAAAUUAUCCUGUUGUGUCAACUGAUCUCAAUCCUCUUAUGUUGCUUGGAAAACGAAGACAGCACCAAGUUUCAGAAGGAAGUAUCACAGACAAUUCAGCUACCACAUCAAGUCAUAAUGGAGAAAAAGUCAAAAUAAAAAAGAACAAAAAUAAAUCCAAGUCUGGAAAGAAAAAAAAUUAUAAGUCACAAAACCAGAACAUGGAUGUUUACUCACAGAUGGGUGAUGUUUCUUACCCAGAAACACUUUUAUCGUUUUCUGGUUCAAAGGACAGCAGUUUUAUCAGUACCACUACUUCAUACAGUGCACCUUUCACAUUAACAACAUUUGCUGCCACUACAACUACAGCUGUAAAUAAUGGGAAAGCUACUUCAGUGUAUUCAUCUAAGAAAGAAAAGAAUAAAAACUCGCAAAAAAAGAAAUCCAAGAAAAGCAAAGGUGAAUCUAGAAGUAAAAUUAAAGAGAAAUCUAAAGAAAAAGAAUGGCAUCAUAUUGGUAGUUCUUCAGAAACAAGUUGUGGUCCUCCAUCAUUGAAAACAAAAAAACACAAGAAACAUAAAGAUGAUCAUAAGCAUCGGCGGCAUCACCACCAUCACCACUGCCAUCAUCACCACCACCAUAAGAAACACAGGCAUGAAAAAAGAAGCAAUCCAAGCAGUCCUGAACAUUGCAUGUCUUCAUCUUGCAGUGAUGCAAAUACAUCAAAAGUUGUUUCAUCAUCAUCAAGAACAUCUCUCACAGAGAAUACUGCAAGUGUUUUAAAAGAUACAUCUUCAUCUUCCCAGCAACUGCCUCUUGUGGAAGUAUCUUCUGAGUCUCUCACAAUUGAAGAAAGAAAUCCCAGUACAGAGAGAAAGAAGUCAGAAUUGAUGCUGAAGAUUAGAACUAAUUCCACUGACAUUCCCCAAGAACACGAUAAAGAAAUAUAUAAAGAGGAUAAGAAAGAUGCAGACGUGGAAUCUUCCUCCGAAAACAGCAGUGAUAGCUCAGAGAGCUCUGAUUCUUCAGACAAAGAAAGAACAACUACAACAUUAUCUACUGUUAAUGAAGAGUCUCAGCAAAAUAUAAAAAAGACUUCUAAAUCAUCUGAGGAUAGCGAGAAAUUCAGUGAGAAAAAGAGGCGAAAAGAUCGCCUCCCUUCAGUUGAAAAAAGUAAAAUAGCAGCCUUUCUCCCAGCUCAGCAACUGUGGCGGUGGGCUGGGAAAAGUUUCAGACGAGCCAGCACUAAAGGAAAAGCAAAGAAAGAGUUUUACAAGGCCAUCAUCAGAGGAAAAGAGACAAUCAAGGAAGACCCCACCUCCCCUUCAUUGGAAGAAUCGAAACCAUGUGGCAAUCAUGGGGGGGCAACAUGGUGGUGAAAGUGAAAUGGUUUUAUCACCCAGAUGAAACAAAAGGAGGAAAUCAACUUCUUGAGCCAAAGGGAGCAGUGUUUCAAUCACCACACAUGGAUGAAAAUGAUGUUCAGACAAUCUCCCACAAGUGUGAAGUACUCUCGUGGACAGAAUACAAAGCCAGGAGAGUUGCAGAGACCUCUAGUGGAAAGUCCGAGUAUGGC